ACUCAGUCUCCAGAAGAGAAGAAUGGGGCUAAAAUUCCACCAGUCCCACCAACACUGUCUCCAGAAGAGAAAGAUGGGGCUAAAAAACCAACAGUCUCAGCAACACUGUCUCCAGAAGGGAAAGAUCGGUCUAAAAAACCAACAGUCCAACCAACACUGUCUCCAGAAGGGAAGGAUGGGGCUAAAAUACCACCAGUCUCACCAACACUG